CAAUAAACCCUGAGUAGUGGGGCGAAGGGAGGGGGGGACCGGGGACCGGGGCAGGCGAUGCUGUCAGCGAAAGGAUUCACUGUGCCUGAAUAGAAGUAGCGGUCUUAUCCAUCCCAUAUAGACAUGAAAUGCUUUUUCUAAGACAUCUCAGCGGACUUGCCAGUUGCUAGAAGUAGCCUAGUUAUUUAUUUUAUUUCUAUAAUAGGAUAUUAUAAAGUCCAAGAUAUUAGUUUAGUUAUCGACCGGGGUCACAAUGCUACCGUCUUCAUCAUCGGGGCUGGUGCAGAUGGAAGGAUGUGGGGCGGAGGCGCGAGAUACCCAAAAAAUGCAGUGCAUGAAACUGACUGAAGAGAGAGAUGAAGCAGAGAGCCAGCUGAAACACAUCAAGAGAGAAAUACUGGACGUGGAGACUAUCCAGGGAGUCAGAGAGGAGUAGUUUAACCGCAGGACAGCUAUAGAGAUCAGCCUGUCGUCAUGUGUGUGUGCUGCAGAACUUUCCUACUGCUCCUAAGCGUGAUAACAAGCAAAAUCUUCGAUCCCCUUUCCCAGAAUUCUCAGGGACUCAUGCAUGCUCAGUGUCAGACAUCAGGGUUAGGAUCGACCUACUGCUUUGCAAAUAUGGUGUAAUCAAGCUGGGGAUAAUAUGCAGAGGCAUGUGUGUUCAGAAGGCAUUAGAGCAAAUGGGGCGGCAGGGUAGCCUUGUGGUUAGAGCGUUGGACUAGUAACCGGAAGGUUGCAAGUUCAAAUCCCAGAGCUGACAAGGUACAAAUCUGUCGUUCUGCCCCUGAACAGGCAGUUAACCCACUGUUCCUAGGCUUUUGUUCUUAACUGACUUGCCGAGUUAAAUAAAGGUUAAAUAAAGGUUAAAAUAAUAAAAUGAAUGAAUAAGCAUGAA
rnacentral:lncRNA from 1 species